UACGUAGGGGACAAGCGUUAUCCGGAUUUACUGGGUGUAAAGGGAGCGUAGACGGCAGAGCAAGUCUGAAGUGAAAGCCCGCGGCCCAACUGCGGGACUGCUUUGGAAACUGCCCGGCUAGAGUGCUGGAGAGGUAAGCGGAAUUCCUAGUGUAGCGGUGAAAUGCGUAGAUAUUAGGAGGAACACCAGUGGCGAAGGCGGCUUACUGGACAGUAACUGACGUUGAGGCUCGAAAGCGUGGGGAGCAAACAGG
rnacentral:rRNA from 1 species